AACCUUACCUACCCUUGACAUGGUCGGAAUCCUGAAGAGAUUCGGGAGUGCUCGAAAGAGAACCGGCGCACAGGUGCUGCAUGGCUGUCGUCAGCUCGUGUCGUGAGAUGUUGGGUUAAGUCCCGCAACGAGCGCAACCCUUGUCCUUAGUUGCUACGCAAGAGCACUCUAAGGAGACUGCCGGUGACAAACCGGAGGAAGGUGGGGAUGACGUCAAGUCCUCAUGGCCCUUAUGGGUAGGGCUUCACACGUCAUACAAUGGUCGGAACAGAGGGUUGCCAACCCGCGAGGGGGAGCUAAUCCCAGAAACCCGCUCUUAUCCGGAUUGCACUCUGCAACUCGACUGCAUGAAGCUGGAAUCGCUAGUAAUCGCGGAUCAGCA
rnacentral:rRNA from 1 species